rnacentral:rRNA from 1 species
CAUAUCAAUAAGCGGAGGAAAAGAAACCAACAGGGAUUGCCCUAGUAACGGCGAGUGAAGCGGCAACAGCUCAAAUUUGAAAUCUGGCUCUUUUAGGGUCCGAGUUGUAAUUUGCAGAGAGCGCUUUGGCGUUGGCAGCGGUCCAAGUUCUUUGGAACAGGACGUCACAGAGGGUGAGAAUCCCGUACGUGGUCGCUAGCCUUCGCCGUGUAAAGCCUCUUCGACGAGUCGAGUUGUUUGGGAAUGCAGCUCUAAAUGGGAGGUAAAUUUCUUCUAAAGCUAAAUACUGGCCAGAGACCGAUAGCGCACAAGUAGAGUGAUCGAAAGAUGAAAAGCACUUUGGAAAGAGAGUCAAAUAGCACGUGAAAUUGUUGAAAGGGAAGCGCUUGCAGCCAGACUUGCCUGUAGUUGCUUAUCUGGACUUUUGUCCGGUGCACUCUUCUGCGGGCAGGCCAGCAUCAGUUUAGGCGGUUGGAUAAAGGUCUCUAUCACGUACCUCCCUUCGGGGUUGGCCUUAUAGGGGAGACGACAUGCAGCCAGCCUGAACUGAGGUCCGCGCAUCUGCUAGGAUGCUGGCGUAAUGGCUGUAAGCGGCCCGUCUUGAAACACGGACCAAGGAGUCUAACAUCUAUGCGAGUGUUUGGGUGUCAAGCCCAGACGCGUAAUGAAAGUGAACGGAGGUGGGAACCUUUUAGGUGCACCAUCGACCGAUCCUGAUGUCUUCGGAUGGAUUUGAGUAAGAGCAUGGCUGUUGGGACCCGAAAGAUGGUGAACUAUGCUUGAAUAGGGUGAAGCCAGAGGAAACUCUGGUGGAGGCUCGCAGCGGUUCUGACGUGCAAAUCGAUCGUCAAAUUUGGGCAUAGGGGCGAAAGACUAAUCGAAC